GCUCGAGCCCCGAAUGUUUUGUCAAAAGCCCCGAAUCUUGACAGAUCUGUAAAAUGAAUUCAUCCAGGACGCUAGGUGGCGGCACUCACCUUUAACUCUCCGGUCCCCUACUCAACUGAAAAUGAAUAAGAGAUGCGUGUUCUGUUGAAGGCAAAAUAACAUUCUGAAUCUCCCCACAGUAAACGCAUUUUCAAAGUGUCUUUAUUAUUACAGUGCCUUCGUUAUUACUGUAAGUGUAUAUUUAUAGUUAUGUGAUGUAAAUACUGUUAAAUAGCGUCAACUGAUAUAUUAUCUGCAUGGCUAACGUCUAACUUACUGUGGUGCUCUGGUCUAGUCUGCCUCAUUGGUCAUUGGUAACGUUGUAUUUAAAGUACAUUUAAUAACAGUGAAUUAAAACUUUGAAAAAACUUGCUCAUUGUUGCAUAUAUACUUUUUUAUAGAUGGAUAUACGAUUUAUAUUUUUAAAGACGUCAGAAGUAAGAAGUGCAAAUAGGAAGAGAGGAGGGUGGAGAGAGAUCACAGACAGACAGAUAGACAGAAAGAGAGAGAAACGCUUCCAUAAGCAGUUUCAAAAUGACAAUACCAGUGUUGGGUAAGUUGCUCAAAAAAGUAAUUAAUUACUAGUUACUAAUUACAUCUUCAAUCAUGUUAUUAAAUUACUUUACAAAUUACUCCAAAAAGUAUUUAAUUAUUACUAAUUACUUUCUAAAUCCUAUUUAGUACAUGAUACAAGGAUAGGCUUGAAAUGGCUCGAAGAAACAAUAUAUAAAAGUACAUUAAUUAUUCUGGUCCCACUUUAGGGUUAAUUUCUCUCUAUUAAUUAACUAUUAACUACU